CGGUAAGGCCCUUCGGGGUACACGAGUGGCGAACGGGUGAGUAACACGUGGGUGACCUGCCCUGUACUUCGGGAUAAGCCUGGGAAACUGGGUCUAAUACCGGAUAUGACCUUCCCCUGCAUGGGGGUUGGUGGAAAGCUUUUGCGGUACAGGAUGGGCCCGCGGCCUAUCAGCUUGUUGGUGGGGUAAUGGCCUACCAAGGCGACGACGGGUAGCCGGCCUGAGAGGGCGACCGGCCACACUGGGACUGAGACACGGCCCAGACUCCUACGGGAGGCAGCAGUGGGGAAUAUUGCACAAUGGGCGGAAGCCUGAUGCAGCGACGCCGCGUGAGGGAUGACGGCCUUCGGGUUGUAAACCUCUUUCAGUAGGGACGAAGCGCAAGUGACGGUACCUACAGAAGAAGCACCGGCCAACUACGUGCCAGCAGCCGCGGUAAUACGUAGGGUGCGAGCGUUGUCCGGAUUUACUGGGCGUAAAGAGCUCGUAGGCGGUUUGUCACGUCGUCUGUGAAAACCCGAGGCUUAACCUCGGGCCUGCAGGCGAUACGGGCAGACUUGAGUACUGUAGGGGAGACUGGAAUUCCUGGUGUAGCGGUGGAAUGCGCAGAUAUCAGGAGGAACACCGGUGGCGAAGGCGGGUCUCUGGGCAGUAACUGACGCUGAGGAGCGAAAGCGUGGGUAGCGAACAGGAUUAGAUACCCUGGUAGUCCACGCCGUAAACGGUGGGUACUAGGUGUGGGUUUCCUUCCACGGGAUCCGUGCCGUAGCUAACGCAUUAAGUACCCCGCCUGGGGAGUACGGCCGCAAGGCUU
rnacentral:rRNA from 1 species